UGCCUUGGUUUACAGUUCUAGAAGCUGCUUGAAAGCAAGAGCUAUUGCCAGGCCAGAGAUAAUGUCUGAAUCAGGCACAUAGAAGUGAAAUGAGGAAUUGUGAGAGACAAAUUGGAGGUGAAGAUUCAUGUAUUGCUUGGACACUUUAGAGUAUUCUUUUGUCAUCCAUAUGAGUAACAAGGACCUACAGGAAUCAGCUGCUGAUACGGCCUUGUGUGUUCUGCAUUCUCCUCAAAAGCCAGGUAGGGAAAUAUAUUCAAGACAAGCUGGUGGAAAGGUUCAUCUUUCCUCUGUGUAUCAGAAACGACAGAUUUGGUGACCUUCCACCAAUUUGGUGAGAGUGAAGGCAAAUUCAACGACAGACUUUACAUCAUUAAUGAAGUCAGCAUGAACUUGACAAGGGUCUGCUUCCAGUAAUAUCAAGCUCACUCCUAAUCCUGCUGUUGAACAGUCCUGAUUCUUAGAAGUUUCUUUGUGGAGACAGACCAAAUGCUAAUAGUGGCUGAUUUUUCAGGUACUUUGAAAAAUGUUUAAUUCAAUGAUAAAGAGCCUGCCCAAGAGUUUAAAAUACAAUAAAAACAAGAACGUACAUCAAUUGUUGAUCCCAUCUGAUGGCAGUCUGUCCUUGAGCAUAUAGCUAAAAGGAUUUUCUCUGUAUCAAGUGGCACAACUACGGUGGACAUUCUGGAAACCAGGUGUCUGUUUGUAUGAAAAUGGUUGGAAGAAACAGAUCAGCACCCACAUCAGCGUAAUGUCUUCAUGGUCUUAUGCUGCAAUAAAGGGAAUGAUGCAUGCUUCACUGCAGAAAAACUAUAACUGCUGAGAAGUUCUUAUAAACCAAUGAUCUCAAAAUUAUUUUGGUAAUUUUUUUCUUCCAAAUAAAAUUAGAUAAACUCUACAUCCCUUCACUGCGCUCAAUACCCACCUUCUGUAAAAAGCAUGAAGAAAACUUCAAUGGACCAACAAGGCUGUAACACUGGGGGAAAUGAUUGAUUUCACUUAAACACCACCACCAACAAAAAAUGUUUAAAAACAGUUUCACGGCGCAACUUUCUCCUUGCUUUUUUUUCUUAUAGUUGGAAUGUAUUUUAUCGUCUGUCAGUUUUGCCCCUAUGAUAUGUCCUCUUAAAUUGGAUCUGUAAGCCCUUCAUAAAGUUUAAUAAAUCUUCAGCAUUUCACCCUAAGGAAAUUAUAUUAAAAACCUUCAAAUGUGAAGUUGGGCCCACAGACACACAGUGCUGGGA
rnacentral:lncRNA from 1 species